GACAGAGGGUGCAAGCGUUAAUCGGAAUUACUGGGCGUAAAGGGCUCGUAGGCGGUUAUUUAAGUCGGAUGUGAAAUCCCUGGGCUUAACCUAGGGUGGUCAUUCGAUACUGAGUAACUAGAGUGAGGUAGAGGAUAGCGGAAUUUCCGGUGUAGCGGUGAAAUGCGUAGAUAUCGGAAGGAACACCAGUGGCGAAGGCGGCUAUCUGGACCUUAACUGACGCUGAGGAGCGAAAGCGUGGGGAGCAAACAGG
rnacentral:misc_RNA from 1 species